CAUGUUAAUGAAAAUUAGUGACAGACAUUCCAACUGUUUUCUCCAUCUCCUCGGUUUUAGGAGUGAUUUCUCCUGGUCCCUGGUACAGGCUCUGAGUACUGCUCCUGACACCCACAGCCUAAGUGAUCCACAUAACGUGGAUGAUGGACACGAAAGAAUAAACACAGGAAUAAAUACUUGAGUAUGUAUUAUGAUAAGGAAAAACGUAGGAUGAGCAAGAAUCAGGUGGACCUUCUUGAGAUUGGAGGAAGGUUCAGGGAAGGCUUCUGUGAUGGUGUAUGUAACCUGAGACAGGGCAGGUAGAAAGAGCUAGCCAAGGAGAAGAGGGAAGAGGAGGAGAACAUUCCAGGCAGAGGCUCUGAGGGGAGAAAGAGCUUGGAGUGUUGGAGGGAGAAAGGAGUGAGGGAAGUGGAAUGGAGACAGGAGGUGGGGAGACAUAAAAUGCCUGGCCAGGGGUAGGCGUCAGGUCAUGCAAGGCUGGACGGGCCAUGGGAAGGAAUUCUGAUGCGAAAGGCUAUGCCAAGUCAGAGGCUUUUGAACCAGAAGGCUCUAUGAUCUGAUUUUCUUUUUCAAAUCCUCACCCUGGCUAUUGUGAGCUUGGACAACCUACCUAGUACAAGUGGGGAGAACAGCUUGGAGUCUAUGGCAGGUGAGAGGUGGCAGCUUGACCAGGGAGGAGGAGAAUGGACUAGGAUUCUACCAGUGUUCCUGGGAGAGCACAGGUGAGUUAUUUCUUCUCUACUUCCCUUUUAAUUGCCCCUCAGCAGUGGAUUAUUUAAGAACCACACAGUGAUCCAGGGGUCCAGGAUUCCAUUUGGAGUCAAGCAUUGUGCACAGACUGAAUAAAGAACUACAUUCUAGAUGCCUCACUUUUCACAUUCCCACAGAUGUUGUUAUGAGUUCAUUUAAAAGCAUCUCAUCACAGCAUUUAUCAUUUCUCAUAGUCUCCAUUUUCUCAAUCAAUAGAUUAUUUAUUUUUUAUUUUUU
rnacentral:lncRNA from 10 species